AGCAUAUCAAUAAGCGGAGGAAAAGAAACCAACAGGGAUUGCCUCAGUAACGGCGAGUGAAGCGGCAACAGCUCAAAUUUGAAAUCUGGCCCCAGGCCCGAGUUGUAAUUUGCAGAGGAUGCUUCUGGCGACGUGCCUUCCGAGUUCCCUGGAACGGGACGCCAUAGAGGGUGAGAGCCCCGUCCGGUCGUGCACCGAGCCUCUGUGAAGCUCCUUCGACGAGUCGAGUAGUUUGGGAAUGCUGCUCUAAAUGGGAGGUAUACGUCUUCUAAAGCUAAAUACCGGCUAGAGACCGAUAGCGCACAAGUAGAGUGAUCGAAAGAUGAAAAGCACUUUGAAAAGAGGGUUAAAUAGUACGUGAAAUUGCUGAAAGGGAAGCGCUUAUGACCAGACUUGGGCCGGUGAAUCACCCGUCGUUCUCGGCGGUGCACUUUGCCGGCUCAGGCCAGCAUCAGUUUGCCCCGGGGGAUAAAGGCUUCGGGAAAGUGGCUCCCUCGGGAGUGUUAUAGACCGUUGCGUAAUACCCUGGGGCGGACUGAGGUACGCGUUCUGCAAGGAUGCUGGCGUAAUGGUCAUCAGUGACCCGUCU
rnacentral:rRNA from 1 species